GGGAACAUGGGCAGGGACAAAUAAGGGAAUAAAAGCUGGCCACCCCAGCCAGCAGUGGUAACCGGUUUGGGUCCUUUUUCGCAAUGUGGAGUCUUCGUCCUUUUGCUCUUCCCAAAAAACCUUGCUGCCUCUUACUUUUUGGGUCUGUGCCAUCUUUAAGAGCUGUAACACUCACCGUGAAGGUCCGUGGCUUCAUUGAUGAAGUCAGUGAGAAUCAUGAAGUCAGCCAGAGUACUGCCCUGGAGGGAAUCGACUGCCAGUUUAAGGAGUCAUUGUCCAGUUCAGACUCCAGAAUACGAAACGUAGAAACUGACAGGAAAUGACCAAGUAUAAAUUGCAACUUGUAAAGAAUCAUCUUAAAUCCUGGCACUGCGUUCAAGGGGGAGUUUGAGCAAGGAAUGUUGCUAAAACGGCUAAAACCAGGAACUCAGAAUAUCGAACCUAAAAACUGUUUCCAACCCAUCACGACAUCACCCUGAAAAAUGAGUGAGCAGUCACUGAGGCUUCCCAAGUUUGAAAAUUCCACAAGACUGAGAGCAAAUGUUUUGUUGAAACUGAAGUCAAGAUGAAGUCAGCUGACUCUCAAACCUCAGGUGAAGUGACUCAGGGCCCACACCCCGGUUCUGAGGCAGGGACACAUUUUACUUGCAGCACCCUGCAGCUUUGGAUGAGGCUGCAACCCGGGUGAAUCCUGGCCCUGCUAUCACGUGGGCAGCCACUGCAUCCUCCGGAGGCUGUGGAUGGGAGUCACCAUGCUGGGAGGUCUGGAGUAAGAUCUGUGCCAUCUGCCUUGCCCAAUCCUGUACCAGUGCCUGUGUUUCAAAAUCUCAAAAUAAAAGUGAU
rnacentral:lncRNA from 1 species